GACGAACGCUGGCGGCGUGCUUAACACAUGCAAGUCGAACGCUGAACCCGCUUCGGUGGGGGAUGAGUGGCGAACGGGUGAGUAGCACGUGGGCAACCUGCCCCCGGCUCUGGGAUAACUCCAAGAAAUUGGGGCUAAUACCGGAUGUGACCGCUGGCCGCAUGGUCUGGUGGUGGAAAGGGUUUCCGGCUGGGGAUGGGCCCGCGGCCUAUCAGCUUGUUGGUGGGGUAGUGGCCUACCAAGGCGACGACGGGUAGCCGGCCUGAGAGGGUGACCGGCCACACUGGGACUGAGACACGGCUCAGACUCCUACGGGAGGCAGCAGUGGGGAAUAUUGCGCAAUGGGCGGAAGCCUGACGCAGCGACGCCGCGUGGGGGAUGACGGCCUUCGGGUUGUAAACCUCUUUCAGCAGGGACGAAGCGCAAGUGACGGUACCUGCAGAAGAAGCACCGGCCAACUACGUG
rnacentral:rRNA from 1 species